rnacentral:lncRNA from 1 species
UGCUAAUAAUACCUGUCUGUUUUCUUGUUGAAUUUUUACAGAAGAUGACAUAGUCCUGUCAUGGCGUAUGUGAAAAAUUUUUAAGACAGCUGACUAAAAGGCAUGUGAAAUGUGAAUUUCCUAAUUGCUUAUAGUCACUAAAAAGCACAGUGUGGCGUAUCAAUCCAGACUGUGCAGAUACGCUACACUGCAGUACCUCUUAAUAUGAGAUAUUCAUUUCUAAAGUCUGUGUGCAAAGUGACACAGCAGUGGCCAGUGGAAAUGCUUCGGCAGAUGAAAAGUCUCUGGGAGUCCACCUGCCCAACAGCCUCCUGGAAUGUUCACUGUGCAGAUGAGCUUCUGAGACAUGGCUGGAACUGCUGCUAA